GAAGCCGUGCCGGAGUGGUUACGGAGCGGAUUGCAAAUCCGUCAACGGCGGUUCAAGUCCGCCCGGCUUCUCCA
rnacentral:tRNA from 1 species